AACAACACGUUCGCUCUGAGAGCAUUUCAACCUCGUAAAAAGCACAAUGUUUUGUUUUGACGUCUCCGCGCAGACAUGCAAAUACACGUCCGGCUCUUUCCGGCGCCGUCUCCUCCCUUUGUUUGGUUGUUUUUCCUCUUUUCCCCGGAAGAGAGGCUUAAAGUGAUAGCAGGACAACAAAGGCGGGUGGGUGAUCAUCCUAAGAGGUGCACCUUAUUGGAGAGACGAUGUCACGGAGCCGACUCGAACCCGCUUCCCUCCUGCAACUGAGUGUCACAGUUCCUCCUGUUGCUGCUCGCCCAGACACGCCCCCGCUCACGCUGAGCGCAGCACGCCCACGCAGCAACAAGCCUGCAGACCAUCGGCAAUCUGCACACCUGGGACUGAUAAGGGCGAACUGGAUAAAGGACCAGUGGACCCAAGGAUCUAUGCGGGAACUUAGUUUACCUCUUUGUAUACCUGCCUUCCCGAGUCUCCCCCUUUGUUAUCUCCCGUUGUUUCCCCCGUGGUUUUGGACUGCCUUCCUCGAUCUUCAACCCUCGCCUGGACACGGACUCUGACGCCUCUCUCUCGCCCUGGAUCUUCUGCCUGCCACAUGGACUGCCUUUCCUGCCUUGUUCCUUCUCCUCGUUUCAACAUUUAGUAAGACUCAACAGCUAAUUAUUCAUACACAUAGUCUUCCACCAUACACCCCUUCUGGAUAUUAGUUCACACUCCAUUUUUUUAACAUGUAAAGCGACUUUGGGUACUUAGAAAAGCGCUAUAUAAAUCCCAGGUAUUAUUAUUAUUAUUUCCGUAGUUAGGGACGAGUCCCUUUGGGACAGAGGACCCUAUUGUAUUUAUUAUUAUUAUUGUUUUAUUAUUAUAUAUAUUGUAAUAUAUAUAAUAAAAUACAUAGAGCUAGACCU